rnacentral:rRNA from 1 species
UACGUAGGGGGCAAGCGUUGUCCGGAAUCAUUGGGCGUAAAGAGCGAGUAGGCGGCCCGAUAAGUCCGCUGUGAAAGUCCAGGGCUCAACCCUGGAAUGCCGGUGGAUACUGUCGGGCUCGAAUCCGGAAGAGGUGAGUGGAAUUCCUGGUGUAGCGGUGAAAUGCGCAGAUAUCAGGAGGAACACCAAUAGCGAAGGCAGCUCGCUGGGACGUUACUGACACUGAGGCGCGAAAGCGUGGGGAGCGAACAGG